UCAGUGACUCGUACCUUCGUUCCUGAGUCAACACCCAAUCUGCUAAUAUGUUGUAUAAAGUUUUUCUGCACUGUGGGAAGACAGCUUGUAUCUGUUUGUUUGAAAAGAGUUCCACAGCGAUACAAACAUGAGCAGAAAUCGGGAAAGAGUCAUUGAAAUCUUGGAUAAAUCUUUUUCACAGAGUGACAAGGUUUCCCCAGAAGACACGCUCUUUUCUUAUAGAGGUGUUUUAUACCCAGCUAUACUUACCAGCCCAGAAACUUUGGAAGCUCUGAAAUCCUUUGAAACCAGGAGUGAUGAUGUGAUUCUAGCAGGCUAUCCUAAAACAGGAACCAACUGGCUUGAUGCAAUGGUGAGCGAGUUGGAGUCAACUGAUGCCAAAUAUACAGAAGAAGAAAUGAAAGAGCGAAUAAAUGCUGAAAAGAAGCUAGAGAUAUUUCCACGUCUAGAAUCUGGAGAUCCUGGAAUAUAUGAGAGGAUGAAGAAACUGCCUUCCAGAAGAGUUAUACUCACCCAUCUGCCACCUCAUCUCCUGCCCCCAUCCAUUCUCCAAAGCAAGGCUAAGAUCCUUGUGCUGGUUCGGAACCCCAAAGACACCGCUGUCUCCUAUUACCACUUCUACAACAACAUGCCAGUGCUGCCAUCCUUUGCCUCCUGGGAUGAGUACUUUGUAGCCUUCAUGAAUGGGAAAUUGGCCUGGGGUUCCUACUUUGACCACUUAGUGGAAUGGAACAAGUACAUUGAUCAUGAGAGGAUCAUGAUGAUAAGCUAUGAGGAACUCAAAGAGGACCAGGUACUGGGAAUGAAAAGGAUUGCUGCCUUCUUUGGAUUCUCCCUGUGUGAGGAAGAUUUCCCCAGAAUUGCGAAGAAGACCGGUUUCCAGGCUAUGAAAGAGAAAUCCAAGGAAACCCAUGGAAAGUUUGGGGACAUCCUCUUCCGGAAGGAAUCAGAUGCUGGAAAUGAGAAGGGCAGCUGAACUCCCUGGGUCUCCUUGACUGAUGGAGAUCAAAGGAGCUGGAAAGAAGACCAGUUUUAAAUCUAUGAAAGAGAAACUCUCAGAAACUCCAAAACAUUUGGGAAUAUUUUUUCAGGAAAAGAUGAAGCUGUAUGUGACUUAUGGGACAUGAAGAUGGAUUAAACGUCUCGAAUUGACUUUAAGCAAGAGUUAAAGUACACAGAUGUAACAUCUUUCAUCCUGUAAACCACAGCUCACAUGCUGUAUAACCCCAGAGGUGAAAUGACUCCAUUUUUGUCUUAAAGUUCUCUAGACACCCAAACGCUGCUUCGAGACAUGUCCAAGAACACUUCUGUCUUAACAGGCUCUGAGCCCUGGGGCUUCUUGAAGCUGUACAGCUAGCAUUUGAACUUCACAGUUAGAUCUCCUCUUUCCCUUAUUCUCAGCACUUCUGGAAUAUGAGGGCUCUUUAUGAGCCUCCAUCUGGGCCUUUCCAGAUGGAAACAGCUGAAAAUGCUAAUAAUUUUUACAAACCUUUUGCAAAGCAUGUAGUGUUGAUUCUCCGGAACAGCAUUCAGCACAAUAAAAUACUUGCUAAUACUGGUCUGCCUACACAAGCCCAGAAGAGUGAUCUUGGUUUUACUAAAAUUUUAUUUUUAGCCUGUCACUUUUAAAAUGCUUUCUUCACCUCAGAAUUACUUGCAGGCUGAAUGGCUCAUAACAGCUCUUCUGGUAAUUGCAACCUGGCUCAAAAUUUUUGGCAUUGGGCUGAGGAGAAAUGUGCCAACCUGGGAAGCAGGGUCUUCUGAUUGCCUGAGAGGAAACAUUGGCAGGAGGCUAAGGCACUGUUGGGAAGGCAUUUGAAAGCUAACGGCAUAUGAAAUAGUGUAUAUGUGUUGGUUAACAUAACACAGUAUAAUUAUCUGUGUUUUCUGCAGAACAAUUCAAGAAAAAAAAAGAAAUUCCCAUUUCUAGCAGCUUCUCUUCCAUGAACCUAAGUUUACAGACUUCCCGCAGAAACUUAAUUUAAAGGCCACUUAAAUCUUUAUGACAUUAUGAAAGCCAGCCGAUGUUUUACACAGAGAUAUGUCUGAGAACAAUUUUUCAGCUGCUCCUUGUCUGGCAUGCUGAGAAGUCCUAGGCAGUUCCACACAUUCAUAGUUUCAUAUGUUUCAGUUUCAUACCAUUUAAAGAUUAUCUGAGUAAUGUGCACUUGGGGCAGCAUCAUAAGGCUUCUCUGUAGUUACUGGAAAGCAAGUAACCCUUCUGACUAGCAAAGGUUGAGUCUGAUCUUAGAUGAGUUGAGGCAAUUUCUAGUUUCCGUUGGCACUACAGCAACUGUGUUCCUACUUGAGAUGUUGCAGAUGCGGAUGAAGAUGGAGAUGAAUCGUGUCAAACUGCACCCAGUACCAGCCCUGGGCUUGCCAUAUCUUCACUCCACUAGGAAUGAGUGAUUCUGAAUUGCAGAUGUGACUUGGGACUGCCAGCUGGAAUCAAAGGCCUGGGAAGACUCUCCUAGCCCCACAUGACUGUUUUAACCUGUUCUGCAAUCCCCCACAAGCACAGAUGAAGUGGUUGAGCAAAUCUCUGUUGUUUGGUACAGAUAACGUUACACAGAAGUUGCUGAAGAACAGUACUGGCUCUUGGACUGCACUUGGUGUCUGCAGGAGCACCUGGAGUCUUCCAGGACCUCCAAAGUCUUGCACUUGGCCUUUCACAGACAUGUAUCUAAACAAGGGGAUGCUGCUGUUGGCUGUAACAGGAAGGGUGGCUGUAACAACGCACUGCUCCAUGUGAGACAGCAAAGGCAUCAAAUCUCACUAUUCCAUAUCUUGAAAUUGCCAAAGCCUCUUUGAGAUGCUUCUUUCACCGUUUACACUAUUAAAGGUUACGGUACUUCCCCAGAAAGCUGAAGUGGUAAGGUGAGCAAAACUGUCCAAAUGUCUUUCUCUAACAAGGGACAACAGGACAACCAUGUAAGUACUUGACUGUCAACUUAUAGUAACUCUGGCUUUGAGUUUGCAUUUUGAGCUGUUCAAAAAGGUUUAAAAUACUCCUUUUUUUUUUUUCUUUUUUUCCCCAGGACCAUCCAGGAUUUUAUAUUGCAUAGCGAUUUCCAUAAUUAAAAGAUCAAUGAAGCUGUUUUCAA